UCAGAUAACAGCUAAUUAUCAAAGCUCACUUUUUUCAUGAGCAGAUUAGCUUUUUGGCUAACAUUGAAAACCAUUAGUGGACCAAUUAGCUCACACUAAAUGUUUGUUCCACUAACA